rnacentral:lncRNA from 1 species
AUUGGUAGACUUUUGAAAAUUUGAAGGAAACUUCAAAGCAGUUGCCUUAACACAAGGCUUUACAAAUUCCACAAUGAAUCAUAGAUUUUGAGGGUAAAGAAUUCUGUCAAUGUCAUGUCUCUAAAAUCCUCUCUAGAAUAAACUAUAGUUUCUUUGGUUCAGGGGAAUAAUCUAUCUCGAAAAUGGCCAAACCAAUCUUUUUCAUUUUCUAAUUGCUUUCUUGGCAGUAAAAGCUGCA